GACGAACGCUGGCGGCGUGCCUAAUACAUGCAAGUAGAACGCUGAAGGAGGAGCUUGCUUCUCUGGAUGAGUUGCGAACGGGUGAGUAACGCGUAGGUAACCUGCCUGGUAGCGGGGGAUAACUAUUGGAAACGAUAGCUAAUACCGCAUAAGAGUAGAUGUUGCAUGACAUUUGCUUAAAAGGUGCAAUUGCAUCACUACCAGAUGGACCUGCGUUGUAUUAGCUAGUUGGUGGGGUAACGGCUCACCAAGGCGACGAUACAUAGCCGACCUGAGAGGGUGAUCGGCCACACUGGGACUGAGACACGGCCCAGACUCCUACGGGAGGCAGCAGUAGGGAAUCUUCGGCAAUGGACGGAAGUCUGACCGAGCAACGCCGCGGGAGUGAAGAAGGUUGUCGGAUCGUAAAGCUCUGUUGUAAGAGAAGAACGAGUGUGAGAGUGGAAAGUUCACACUGUGACGGUAUCUUACCAGAAAGGGACGGCUAACUACGUG
rnacentral:rRNA from 1 species